UACGUAGGGUGCGAGCGUUGUCCGGAAUUAUUGGGCGUAAAGAGCUCGUAGGCGGUCUGUCGCGUCGAUCGUGAAAACUUGGGGCUUAACCCUGAGCUUGCGGUCGAUACGGGCAUGACUGGAGUUCGGCAGGGGAGACUGGAAUUCCUGGUGUAGCGGUGAAAUGCGCAGAUAUCAGGAGGAACACCGGUGGCGAAGGCGGGUCUCUGGGCAACUACUGACGCUGAGGAGCGAAAGCGUGGGGAGCGAACAGG
rnacentral:rRNA from 1 species